AGGAGCGCUUCAUCGAGUCUCUUGUUAAUGCGCCCACACUACAACAACAAAGAGAGCUCUGGUUCGCUUGUGUAGGAAACUGGCUAUCACAAGCUGGGAUUUUUGCGAAGAUGGUAUCUUUCUUCGUAACCAACAGAUUCACGAUGUGGUUUUGUGCUGGAGUGUGCAAAGGCCAGCUUCGUCUGCUACGCAAGGAGGGCAACUUAUACAACUACAUUGUCCGCUGUCUAAAUUCAACAGCUGCGUAUUCACAUCUCCGGGAC